rnacentral:rRNA from 1 species
CCAGACUCCUACGGGAGGCAGCAGUGGGGAAUAUUGCACAAUGGGCGCAAGCCUGAUGCAGCCAUGCCGCGUGUAUGAAGAAGGCCUUCGGGUUGUAAAGUACUUUCAGUCGGGAGGAAGGUGGUAAGGUUAAUAACCUUAUCAAUUGACGUUACCGACAGAAGAAGCACCGGCUAACUCCGUGCCAGCAGCCGCGGUAAUACGGAGGGUGCAAGCGUUAAUCGGAAUUACUGGGCGUAAAGCGCACGCAGGCGGUUGAUUGAGUCGGAUGUGAAAUCCCCGGGCUCAACCUGGGAACUGCAUUCGAAACUGGCAGGCUGGAGUCUUGUAGAGGGGGGUAGAAUUCCAGGUGUAGCGGUGAAAUGCGUAGAGAUCUGGAGGAAUACCGGUGGCGAAGGCGGCCCCCUGGACAAAGACUGACGCUCAGGUGCGAAAGCGUGGGGAGCAAACAGGAUUAGAUACCCCUGUAAA